rnacentral:rRNA from 1 species
CCUACGGGAGGCAGCAGUGGGGGAUAUUGCACAAUGGGGGAAACCCUGAUGCAGCGACGCCGCGUGGGCGAAGAAGUAUUUCGGUAUGUAAAGCCCUAUCAGCAGGGAAGAAGAAAUGACGGUACCUGAGUAAGAAGCACCGGCUAAAUACGUGCCAGCAGCCGCGGUAAUACGUAUGGUGCAAGCGUUAUCCGGAUUUACUGGGUGUAAAGGGAGCGCAGGCGGCACGGCAAGCCUGAUGUGAAAGCCCGGGGCCCAACCGCGGGACUGCAUUGGGAACUACCGGGCUGGAGUGCCGGAGAGGUAGGCGGAAUUCCGAGUGUAGCGGUGAAAUGCGUAGAUAUUAGGAGGAACACCAGUGGCGAAGGCGGCCUACUGGACGGUGACUGACGCUGAGGCUCGAAAGCGUGGGGAGCAAACAGGAUUAGAUACCCCUGUAGUC